rnacentral:rRNA from 1 species
UACGUAGGUGACCAGCGUUGUCCGGAUUUACUGGGCGUAAAGAGCGCGUAGGCGGACCUGCAAGUCGGGGGUGAAAGCCCGAGGCUCAACCUCGGAACUGCCUUCGAUACUGCGGGUCUCGAGUCCGGGAGAGGUGAGUGGAAUUCCUAGUGUAGAGGUGAAAUUCGUAGAUAUUAGGAAGAACACCAGUGGCGAAGGCGGCUCACUGGCCCGGUACUGACGCUGAGGCGCGAAAGCGUGGGGAGCAAACAGG